rnacentral:lncRNA from 1 species
AGCGGAGCUGCUCUGAUGUCAAUGGUGGAGUCCGGCUCCCGUAGGAGUCCGGGCGGAGCUGCAGCUGCUGUCGGCGGUGGAGCCCGGCUCUCGUAAGAGUCCGGGUGGAGCUGCGCUGCAAACAAAGUUAAGGGCGAAACCCGGCUCCGAUAGGAGUCCGGAUUAAGCUUACCAGCAGUUGAUACUGAGAGCGGAGCCUGGCUCCCGUGGGAGUCCGGGCGGAGCUGUACUGAUGUUGGCGGCGAAGUCCGGCUCCCGUAGGAGUCCGGGGAGAGCUGCACUGAUGUCGUCGGUGGAGCCCGGCUCCCGUAGGAGUCCAGGCGGAGCUGUGCUGCAAACAAAGUUAAGGGUGAAGUCCGACUCUGAUAGGAGUCCGGAUUGAGCUUACCAGCAGUUGAUACUGAGAGCGGAGCCCGGCUCCCGUGGGAGUCCGG